rnacentral:lncRNA from 1 species
CAUGGCCAAUUAACAUGGCGGCGGCAUCAGGCAUGCAUGGCGGGAAAGCCGCUGCGAACUCCGGCAAGACCAUCCUAGUGACGAUACUGACGCGCCGCCUGUCGAAAUUAGCAACCGGUAAUAUUGAAAGGGGUAGUGCACAAGAACUAGAGUAGAUGGGUUGAAAGACAAAGAGUUUAGACAUGUUCAGUUCCUCUCGAUGAGAGGUAAUACCUUACUAUUGUUUGGGGAUUUGAAUCGUGUUGUAAUGAUCUUGAUCUUGGAUGUGGUUAUACCCUCGAGGGGGCUUCCUGCCCACCUUAUAUAGAUCAUGGGGUAGGAUUAUAGGUAAAAACCUGACCGAAUAUAAUAUCUAUUUUACAAUAUUUCCGAACUAAGACUUUAAGCCGUUUACUUAAUACUUAAGGAAACGUAAUACCCAAGUCAGAAUCUAUUACAUAUUCUAGAGAUAUAAACUAUCCCCUAUAACUAGUCAGAUAAGCCGAUCGUGUGGGUAUAUGGUACUCAUAAUCUCCACACCACCCAUCUUCCCUUCCCUGGUGGCUUGGUCGUGACAGCAAGGUGCUAGAGGAGGAGAUUGAACUCCAGAAGAUGGCGAACGAAGCGUGAAUUGGAGAUCUGAGCGGGCCGAGCCCGAUGUGGACGGAAAAGGUGAAGGGAUGGAGCAAGUCAUUGGGGCAGUACAAGAGACGGAGGGUCGGGCCGGAGGAAAAUGAGGUGGAGUGGUCGAAGUGGAGAUCCCUGGCAUCACCGCUGGUCGAGAAAUCGGAGAGGAAUGGUAGCCCGAGCACACCGACCAACACCUAUGCCUUCAUGGCAGAGGACUCCAUCAUCGUCGCUACCUAGCUAGCUACAUGGCUCCUGCGACAACGAUAGCGCGCACUGCCAAUGCCCACCACGCCCUCCUGACAGGCGUCGCCACUGCGCCUCCUCACCAACGCGAGAUGAUUGGAGAGGAGGGCCAUGACACAACAGGGACACAUCGGACCGGAGAGAGAUAAGGGAAGCGGAGAUGCUGACUAGUGGGUUCCACACCGUUUUUUACCCUAGGUUGCCAUGUUGGCAUGCCACGUAGGCAAAAGUGGCAAAUAGUUAAGAAGCCAUCAUCUUAGAGGGGCAAAAAAAAUAAGAGCAAAUAUAUAAAGGGUAUUUGGAUAAUUGCCAAACUAAAAAAUGAGAAAUAGUUAAAUUCCCUCCAAAACUAUGGCAUUGAAUUUGAACAGCCAUAGUUUGAUUUUUUUUUAUGGAGGGUGUACUCCCUCCUAUGGUCCUACCCAAAAUAAACUUACGGAGUAUGAACAACUCCUUCCACCCCAAAAAAAAUAAACCUGUAUCGGAUGUGACAUAUGCUAGUACUAGCACUAUUAUGGAAAGUUGAUUAUACCAGUUAGGAAUCGACAAUAGUUGCCGGAUUUCUCAGCUGACACCCGUAGGUGAUACCUUUGAGGAGAACUCAUAGGUGCUGGUUUAGAAACCGAAACCUUUGAGAUAUAUAAAAAAAAUCGACUUGAUGCAUCAAGCAACUCCCCUCAACAAACAUAACAAGCACACUAGAACACAAGAACGGACGCCGCCGCUCACCGUUAUCAGUGUUGAGGGACCGAGAAGCUGGAGACUACUCGGGGACAAGCGACAGGGCCUAGAUCUGGUGGCCCCCCGAGCUCGGGCCUAGCAAAUCUGGUGUCAGUGUAGUCGCCACCAUUGUUGCUGUUCACGGAUGGGGAAAGCGUCACCGGAUCUCAUGGGUAGGGAGGGCGUCACCGCUUGUGGGUGGGAGGGCGCGGCUCGUGGGGUGGAGAGGCACUGUUCGCGAGAGAGAGGAGGACGAGAGCCCCUCGCGGGAGAGAGGGAGAGAG